rnacentral:rRNA from 1 species
AUUGAACGCUGGCGGCAGGCCUAACACAUGCAAGUCGAACGAGUGGCGGACGGGUGAGUAAUGUCUGGGAAACUGCCUGAUGGCGGGGGAUAACUCCUGGAAACUGUCGCUCAUACCUCCUCCCAUCGGAUGUGCCCAGAUGGGAUUAGCUAGUAGGUUUGGUAAAGGCUCACCUAGGCGACGAUCCCUACCUGGUCUGAGAGGAUGACCAGCCACACUGGAACUGAGACACGGUCCAGACUCGUACGGGAGGCAGAAGUGGGGAAUAGUGCACAAUGGGCGCAAGCCUGAUGCAGCCAUGCCGCGUGUAUGAAGAAGGCCGUCGGGUUGUAAAGUACUUUAAGCGGGGAGGAGUUACCCGCAGAAGAAGCAACGGCUAACUCCGUGCCAGCAGCCGCGGUAAUUC